rnacentral:tRNA from 1 species
AAUUAGUUUGGCAGAUUUAAUUGCAUAGGGUUUAGAACCUUAAUAUGAUAUUAUUAUCAAUUAAUUA